CUCACAUGUUUAUGGAGCUUUUGGAAAAAAAAACUUUGAUACAGUGCGUUCUAUGAACUGAAUGAAGCAUUAAAUAUCGCUUGAUCACGUGAAUUUGAUCGUGGGAAGCCAAAAUCGUUAUCGUGAUUAAAAUUCGAUUAAUUGUGCAGCCCUAUCAUCAGCCUCACUUUUAGCCCGUGAUGCUUUUGAGACAUCAUUCUCAUUUGUCACUUUUGAUAAAUCAACAACAGGAG